AGUGAACGCUGCGGUAGGCCUAACACAUGCAAGUCGAACGGCAGCACAGUAAGAGCUUGCUCUUACGGGUGGCGAGUGGCGGACGGGUGAGGAAUACAUCGGAAUCUACUUUUUCGUGGGGGAUAACGUAGGGAAACUUACGCUAAUACCGCAUACGACCUACGGGUGAAAGCAGGGGAUCUUCGGACCUUGCGCGAUUGAAUGAGCCGAUGUCGGAUUAGCUAGUUGGCGGGGUAAAGGCCCACCAAGGCGACGAUCCGUAGCUGGUCUGAGAGGAUGAUCAGCCACACUGGAACUGAGACACGGUCCAGACUCCUACGGGAGGCAGCAGUGGGGAAUAUUGGACAAUGGGCGCAAGCCUGAUCCAGCCAUACCGCGUGGGUGAAGAAGGCCUUCGGGUUGUAAAGCCCUUUUGUUGGGAAAGAAAAGCAGCAGGUUAAUACCCCGCUGUCCUGACGGUACCCAAAGAAUAAGCACCGGCUAACUUCGUG
rnacentral:rRNA from 1 species